AACUGUCGAGGCUUGGGUCAACCUCGUACAGUUCAAGAGUUGGUGUGCCUCUCAAAGACGCACAUACCCAAUAUUAUCUUUUUAUCUGAAACAAGAAAGAAUAAAGAGUAUGUUGAGAGCUUGCGCUGUAGGUUGGGUAUGAAUAAUGUUUUUACUGUUUCUGGCCAUGGUAAAGGUGGCCAUGGUAAAGGUGGUGGACUAGCUGUGUUUUGGGAUGAG
rnacentral:rRNA from 1 species